AACUCACCCUCUCCCUCUCUCGACUCGCACCUUUCAUCUGGCGCCGGCUUUCCGAGGUCCGGCCCCUGCGCUCGGCCGGUUUACCUGGGGCGGCGCCGUCCGCCGCCAUGACUCGCCAGGUUCCAGUCUCACGGCACUGCACUCUCCCCACCCCCUGCAAAAGGAACGGAACCGCAUCACGAUGCCCCUGACGACCACAGCGCUCGGUGCUGCGCCCUAGGCGAUGGGCAAGGCAGCGAGUUCAGUUUCCUUUCAACACAGUGCAGGAUGGGAUUGUUGUUUAUUUUCAGAGGGGCUGGGGAUACCAGAGUCUUGAGGAUAGCACGGGGACAUCUCAGUUGAAAUCUUAGCACUCUUGGAUGACCCAACGGGAGCACAGAAGAGAACAACGGUGGCUGUGACUCUGAUUCGAACAAAGGUCCUGGGCCACGCUGGUGUAAUUUACAGUGGGGAUGAGUAAAUAACUUUUCAGUUGUCUCCUUCUGCAACCCUCCUACAAGGAUACUUGUGAUUCUACUUAGGGUCCAACAAGAUAAUCUGGAUCACUGUCUCACUCAACCUCAUUAACAACAUCUGCAAAAGCCCUUUUUCCGUGAAAGGAUCCGAGGGGGUCACAUAAAAGUUCAGCUCUGUCAUCAUCUGUCAUCACUGUUAUCAUCAUCCUUAAAUCUAUUUUCAUAGAUGCCCUCCCUCCCUAAAUACCCUGUGAUUGCCUGGACUGCUAUUUUGAUAAGAGACAGAAGAGGAUCAAGGCCUGAGGCAGGAAGACUGUGCAGGAGGCUACUCCGUGAUCCAGGAAGACCCUUCAGGAGGCUACUCCAUGAUCCAGUGCUGUGCUUUUAGAGACCUUGGUGGUCAUCAGCGCAGAGGUGCUGGCCUAGGAGAGAAGAGCCUGGGUUCUUGCUCCAGUUCUUCCAUUGUCCUCCUUGACCUGGAUAACCUAGCCUAUAACAGGGGUAACAAUGGCUGCUCAGAGCUGGUGUGAGACUGAUGCGAGUGUUAGUAGGAUGAUUUGGAUGGCCGUGCUCUGAAAAGUAUGCAGUGCCCUGUACAAGCAAGACAUUCAUUUUACUCAACAACCAUGGGACUGAGGUUAGCAGUUGACGGUUUCUCUGUUUAAGCUUUACAUACAAUUAUUUUGAUCAGGGAUAAGAGUUUUAUUUGCCUCUCAGUCCAGGUGCUUUUUGGAAAGACCACUUCAAAAAUAGUUUCCUAAGAAAUGGAAAGUGGAAUAAGAUUGUUUGCUUGUCCCCCCAGGCAUCCAUACUAUGUUUCUCCAUUGUAGUUUGGAUGGGAAUGACUCUAUCCUCAAUAUCAGCCAGUCAGCACAAUUCUAUCCCUUUUGCCAGCCAGAUUGGCUAAAUUGGGCACAUAAGCCAGGCAAGCUUGAUCUAGCAUUUCACUGACUGCAAUGAAUGGCUCAUAGCUUGGUGGUCCAAAGGUCCUUUUAGAUUUCUAUUUUGAGUCUCUAUUAAAUCUGCUCAUUCUUAUUGUUACAGUUGUUAUUUAGUUGCUAAGUUGUAUGCGACUGUUUUGCAACUCCAUGAACUGUAGCCUGCCAGGCUCCUCUGUCCAUAGGAUUUCCCAGGCAAGAAUACUGGAGUGGGUUGCCAUUUCCUUCUCCAGGGGAUCUUCCUGACCCAGGGAUCAAACCUGAGUCUCUUGCACCUCCUCCAUUGGCAGGUGGAUUCUUUACCGCUGAGAAACUAGGGAAGCCCAUGAUCAUUCUUAUUAUAUCUUAAAAUUGAUUCUAGAAUAGUUUAAGUAUUCAGCUCAGUUCAGUUCAGUCCAGUCACUCAGUCGUGUCCGACUCUUUGCGACCCCAUGAAUUACAGCAUGCCAGGCCUCCCUGUCCAUCACCAACUCCCAGAGUUCACUCAGACUCACUUGAGAAUGAAUUCAAUUAAAAAAAUUUACUUAUAGCUUUCCUGCCUUUCCCAUCCUUGUUCCUCAUAAUAACAAGGUUAAACUGCAUAAAAAUUUCCCCUAAAAUUCAUAUAAAAUUUCUUCUCACACAUUAAUGUAUUUGUUGUUUUUGUGAUCACACUAGCAUAUUUAAACUAAAUAAUCUAGUUAAUUGCUUCCAGUUUCUCUCGAUUUCUGUUUAAUGAUUGCUGUCUUUUUGGCCUAUGACUUUUAAGUCAGUCUAUACAAUAGAAAAAAGAAUUUAACCACAAGAGCUUUUAAGUUUCCCCGGCCCAAUUGUUUUCUCAUUAACUUAGCUUUUUCCUCCCUUUCACCCUUACUCUACCGUAUUUAUAGAUAACGUUUCUAUGAUAGAAUGUCUCCAUCAAGAUUUACUCAUGUUUUAUGAGUAGUUGAAAGAUCUAUUAAAAGCAGCUGAAGGACGUUUAACAUUAGCCUCCAACAUGGAAAUCACUGAUGGUGAACUAUUGCUAACACUGUGUGAAAAUGAGUGAUCAAGGAAGAACAGCAAUCAGGAGAUGGUUGUUAAUGGUAGACCAGGGCUGUCUAGCCAUAAGGCCCCUGUGAAAGCUGAAGUUGAGCCAGCGUUGUAAGAUUUGGGCCCUGGGCCUGGGGUUGCAUCAGGCCACUGAAGAGUUCUGUUCUCUUAUUAAACCACUUCGAGGAUUUGCCUUUUAAAAAUUAUCACAAAGAUUCCAGGUGUGGUCAAGUGUGAAAGUGUUAGUCACUCAGUCAUGUCCGAUUCGUUGCAACCCC